UACGUAGGGUGCGAGCGUUAAUCGGAAUUACUGGGCGUAAAGCGUGCGCAGGCGGUCUGUUAAGACCGAUGUGAAAUCCCCGGGCUUAACCUGGGAACUGCAUUGGUGACUGGCAGGCUUUGAGUGUGGCAGAGGGAGGUAGAAUUCCACGUGUAGCAGUGAAAUGCGUAGAGAUGUGGAGGAAUACCGAUGGCGAAGGCAGCCUCCUGGGCCAACACUGACGCUCAUGCACGAAAGCGUGGGGAGCAA
rnacentral:rRNA from 1 species